AUUGAACGCUGGCGGAAUGCUUUGCACAUGCAAGUCGAACGGCAGCACGGAGUGCGGUCUGGUGGCGAGUGGCGAACGGGUGAGUAAUGUAUCGGAACGUGCCCAGUCGUGGGGGCUAACGUAGUGAAAAUUACGCUAAUACCGCAGACGUUCUAUGGAUGAAAGCGGGGGAUCGCAAGACCUCGCGCGACUGCAGCGGCCGCUGUCAGAUUAGGUAGUUGGUGGGGUAAAGGCACACCAAGGCAACGAUCCGUAGCUGGUCUGAGAGGACGACCAGCCACACUGGAACUGAGACACGGUCCAGACUCCUACGGGAGGCAGCAGUGGGGAAUUUUGGACAAUGGGCGAAAGCCUGAUCCAGCCAUUCCGCGUGCAGGAUGAAGGCCCUCGGGUUGUAAACUGCUUUUGUACAGAACGAAAAGGUUUCUACUAAUACUAGGAGCUCAUGACGGUACUGUAAGAAUAAGCACCGGCUAACUACGUGCCAGCAGCCGCCGCUG
rnacentral:rRNA from 1 species